rnacentral:rRNA from 1 species
AACGCGUGGGAAUCUGCCCUUGGGUACGGAAUAACUCAGAGAAAUUUGUGCUAAUACCGUAUAAUGUCUUCGGACCAAAGAUUUAUCGCCCAAGGAUGAGCCCGCGUAAGAUUAGCUAGUUGGUGGGGUAAAGGCCUACCAAGGCUACGAUCUUUAGCUGGUCUGAGAGGAUGAUCAGCCACACUGGGACUGAGACACGGCCCAGACUCCUACGGGAGGCAGCAGUGGGGAAUAUUGGACAAUGGGCGAAAGCCUGAUCCAGCAAUGCCGCGUGAGUGAUGAAGGCCUUAGGGUUGUAAAGCUCUUUUACCAGGGAUGAUAAUGACAGUACCUGGAGAAUAAGCUCCGGCUAACUCCGUGCCAGCAGCCGCGGUAAUACGUAGGGUGCGAGCGUUAAUCGGAAUUACUGGGCGUAAAGCGUGCGCAGGCGGUUAUGUAAGACAGUUGUGAAAUCCCCGGGCUCAACCUGGGAAUUGCAUCUGUGACUGCAUAGCUAGAGUACGGUAGAGGGGGAUGGAAUUCCGCGUGUAGCAGUGAAAUGCGUAGAUAUGCGGAGG